rnacentral:rRNA from 1 species
GACGAACGCUGGCGGCGUGCUAACACAUGCAAGUCGAACGGAAAGGCCCUGCUUUUGUGGGGUGCUCGAGUGGCGAACGGGUGAGUAACACGUGAGUAACCUGCCCUUGACUUUGGGAUAACUUCAGGAAACUGGGGCUAAUACCGGAUAGGAGCUCCUGCUGCAUGGUGGGGGUUGGAAAGUUUCGGCGGUUGGGGAUGGACUCGCGGCUUAUCAGCUUGGUGGUGGGGUAGUGGCUUACCAAGGCUUUGACGGGUAGCCGGCCUGAGAGGGUGACCGGCCACAGUGGGACUGAGAUACGGCCCAGACUCCUACGGGAGGCAGCAGUGGGGAAUAUUGCACAAUGGGCGGAAGCCUGAUGCAGCAACGCCGCGUGCGGGAUGACGGCCUUCGGGUUGUAAACCGCUUUCGCCUGUGACGAAGCGUGAGUGACGGUAAUGGGUAAAGAAGCACCGGCUAACUACGUG